AAUUACAGAAGAUUUGAGAGAUUUUGUCAAGGGAUUGACUUCUAGUACAUUCCAUAACUUCCCAAUUCAAGAUGAAGCUGAGGUGUCUGAUGUGCCUACUACGGCAUCGAAUGUACGGAAAGAUCUUAAUGAGUGGCAGGGGGGGCAUGCCCCCCUCCGUUCUCACUAAUGUGAAGCAAAUCUCAAAGCUAAGAUACGAAUUAUGCCCACGUGUGAUGAAAGAAAG
rnacentral:misc_RNA from 1 species